GAUGAACGCUGGCGGCGUGCCUAAUACAUGCAAGUCGAGCGAACAGACGAGGAGCUUGCUCCUCUGACGGUAUCGGCGGACGGGAGAGUAACACGUGGUUAACCUACCUAUAAGACUGGGAUAACUUCGGGAAACCGGAGCUAAUACCGGAUAAUAUAUUGAACCGCAUUGUGCAAUAGUGAAAGACGGUUUUGCUGUCACUUAUAGAUGGAUCCGCGCCGCAUUAGCUAGUUGGUAAGGUAACGGCUUACCAAGGCAAGGAUGCGGAGCCGACCUGAGAGGGUGAUCGGCCACCCUGGAACUGAGACACGGUCCAGACUCCUGCGGGAGGCAGCAGUAGGGACUCUUCCGCAAUGGGCGAAAGCCUGACGGAGCAAAGCCGCGUGAGUGAUGAAGGUGUUCGGAUCGUAAAACUCUGUUAUUAGGAAAGAACAAAUGUGUAAGUAACUAUGCACGUCUUGACGGUACCUAAUCAGAAAGCCACGGCUAACUACGUG
rnacentral:rRNA from 1 species